rnacentral:rRNA from 1 species
GACGAACGCUGGCGGCGUGCCUAAUACAUGCAAGUAGAACGCACAGUUUAUACCGUAGCUUGCUACACCAUAAACUGUGAGUUGCGAACGGGUGAGUAACGCGUAGGUAACCUGCCUGGUAGCGGGGGAUAACUAUUGGAAACGAUAGCUAAUACCGCAUAAUAUUUAUUAUUGCAUGAUAAUUGAUUGAAAGAUGCUAUUGCAUCACUACCAGAUGGACCUGCGUUGUAUUAGCUAGUAGGUGAGGUAACGGCUCACCUAGGCGACGAUACAUAGCCGACCUGAGAGGGUGAUCGGCCACACUGGGACUGAGACACGGCCCAGACGACUACGGGAGGCAGCAGUAGGGAAUCUUAGGCAAUGGACGAAAGUCUGACCGAGCAACGCCGCGUGAGGGAAGAAGGUUUUCGGAUCGUAAAGCUCUGUUGUAAGAGAAGAACGGGUGUGAGAGUGGAAAGUUCACACUGUGACGGUAUCUUACCAGAAAGGGACGGCUAACUACGUG